rnacentral:rRNA from 1 species
GAGCAAAAAAACGUAAGGGCGUACGGCGGAUGCCUAGGCUCUCAGAGGCGAAGAAAGACGUGACAAGCUGCGAAAAGCUGCGGGGAGGUGCAAAUAACCAUAGAUCCGCGGAUAUCUGAAUGGGGCAACCCGGUAGCAUGAAGUGCUAUCAUCCAAUUUAAGGAGGCAAACGUGGGGAACUGAAACAUCUCAUUACCCAUAGGAAAAGAAAACAAAAGUGAUUCCGCAAGUAGUGGUGAGCGAACGCGGAGAAGCCCAAACCAGAGUUAUUACGGUAACUUUGGGGUUCGGACUGCGAUGUGGACUUAUAUAUUUUAUAUGAACGAGGCUGGAAAGCCUGAUCGAAGAGGGUGAUAAUCCCGUAAUAGACAUUAUAUAUAUACCUAGCAGUAUCCAGAGUAGCGCGGGACCGGAGAAAUCCUGUGUGAAUGUGCCGGCACCAUCCGGUAAGGCUAAAUACUCCUGAGAGACCGAUAGUGAACCAGUACUGUGAAGGAAAGGUGAAAAGAACCGCUAGCAGCGGAGUGAAAUAGACCCUGAAACCGUACGCUUACAGACUGUAGGAGCCACGAGAUGUGGUGACUGCGUGCCUUUUGCAUAAUGAGCCUACGAGUUAUUAAGGUUGGCAAGGGUAAGAGACAAUAGUUUUGUACCCGAAGCGAAAGCGAGUCCUAAUAGGGCAUUUAGUCAAUCUGAAUAGACGCGAAACCAAGUGAUCUACCCAUGGUCAGGAUGAAGUUUUGGUAACACAACAUGGAGGUCCGAACCCGUUGACGUUGAAAAGUCUUGGGAUGAAUUGUGGGUAGGGGUGAAAGGCUAAUCAAACUUGGAAAUAGCUCGUACUCCCCGAAAUGCCUUUAGGGGCAGCCUCUAUAUAAUUUUGCCGGAGGUAAAGCUACUGAUUGAAUGCGGGGGCUUCACCGCCUACCAAAUUCAGACAAACUCAGAAUGCCGGUAAAAGAUAAUAGGGAGAGAGGGCAUGGGUGCUAAGGUCCAUGUCCGAGAGGGAAAGAACCCAGACUAUUGGCUAAGGUCCCCAAAUAUAUGUUAAGUUGAAUUAACGAGGUGCUACUGCUUUGACAGCUAGGAUGUUGGCUUGGAAGCAGCCAUUCAUUUAAAGAGUGCGUAACAGCUCACUAGUCGAGCGGUAGUGCGUGGAUAAUAAUCGGGCAUAAACAUAUUACCGAAGCCAUAGAUUUGCACAGAUAAUGUGUAAGUGGUAGGGGAGCAUUCCAACAGCGCCGAAGGUGAAUCGUGAGGUUUGCUGGAGCGGUUGGAAAAGAAAAUGUAGGCAUAAGUAACGAUAAUGGGGGAGAGAAACCCCCACACCGAAAGACUAAGGUUUCCUGAUCAACGCUAAUCGGAUCAGGGUUAGUCGGGACCUAAGGCGUAACCCGAAGGGGGAAGUCGAUGGACAGUCAGUUAAUAUUCUGACACUUAUUUAUAUUAGUGAAGGUAUGACGAAGUAGUGACAUGUUCGCGUGCUGACGGAAUAGCACGUUAAAGCUUGUAGAUAUAUCGAAUAUAGUAAAAAGCGUAUUUGAUGUCGAAGGUGAUAGUACCGAGAGUCUACGGAUGAUUGGAUAGUAACAGUAAUCAGACUUCCGAGAAAAUUAUCUAAGCGUUAUAAAGUAUAAAUAACCCGUACCGUAAACCGACACAGGUAGUCGAGGAGAGAAUCCACAGGUGCUCGAGAGAUUCAUGGCUAAGGAACUAGGCAAAUUAGCUCCGUAACUUCGGGAUAAGGGGCGCCACAGCGAUGUGGCCGCAGAGAAACGGCCCAGGCGACUGUUUAACAAAAACACAUGGCUUUGCGAAAUAGAAAUAUGAAGUAUAAGGCCUGACACCUGCCCGGUGCCGGAAGGUUAAGAGGAGAUGUCAUAUCGUAAGGUAGAAGCAUUGAAUUGAAGCCCCGGUAAACGGCGGCCGUAACUAUAACGGUCCUAAGGUAGCGAAAUUCCUUGUCGGGUAAGUUCCGACCUGCACGAAUGGUGUAACGAUCUGGGCGCUGUCUCAGCCAUGAUCUCGGUGAAAUUGUAGACCCGGUGAAGAUGCCGGGGACCCGCAACGGGACGAAAAGACCCCGUGAACCUUCACUACAGCUUAACAUUGGUUUUGGGUAAACGAUGUGUAGGAUAGCCGGGAGACAGAGAAGCAGUCACGCUAGUGAUUGUGGAGUCAUCCUUGAAAUACCGGCCUUUGUUUAUUUGACAUCUAAUCCUUUAUAUAGGGAGACAUUGUUUGGUGGGUAGUUUGACUGGGGUGGUCGCCUCCAAAAGCGUAACGGAGGCUUCCCAAGGUACCCUCAGGAUGGUUGGCAACCAUUCGCAGAGUGUAAUAGUAUAAGGGUGCUUGACUGAGAGACAAACAAGUCGACCAGGUAGGAAACUAGGGUAUAGUGAUCCGGUGGUUCCGUAUGGAAGGGCCAUCGCUCAAAGGAUAAAAGGUACUCCGGGGAUAACAGGCUGAUCCCUCCCAAGAGCUCACAUCGACGGAGUGGUUUGGCACCUCGAUGUCGGCUCGUCACAUCCCGGGGCUGGAGAAGGUCCCAAGGGUUGGGCUGUUCGCCCAUUAAAGUGGCACGCGAGCUGGGUUCAGAACGUCGCGAGACAGUUCGGUCUCUAUCUGUUGUGGGCGUAUGAAUUUUGCGUGGAGCUGACUCUAGUACGAGAGGACCGAGUUGGACAAACCUCCGGUUUACCUGUUGUGACGCCAGUUGCAUAGCAGGGUAGCCGCGUUUGGAUUAGAUAAGUGCUGAAAGCAUCUAAGCACGAAACUAGCCACAAGAUAAGAAUUCAGAAUAAGGGUCGUUCGAGACUAGGACGUAGAUAGGUUGCAGAUGUAUAGGCAGUAAUGUCACAGUCGAGCAAUACUAAUUACCCGGACUUUUUGUUCGA